GGGAGGAGGAGCCUGAGAACAGGGAGCGGUCAGACUCCAUUUUCACCUGGACGAGCAGAAGGAAGGAAAGUGAGCAGCAGUGGUCACCAACCAGUGGAGAGUCUUCACUGUGGAUCCCAGUAAAGCUCUGGACUCACUGGCUGAGGUGUGAGGAACAUCGACCUGCAGAGCCAGAUAAACAUUGAAACUGGUUUGAAAGAUCAUUUCAAUGUGUUCUGCUGUAAACUGAGCACAGAACCAGAGGAAAUAGACCAGACCUUGAAUAUCUAGAAGAGCAGCGUGGCCUGAACCACAACUGAGCCGCAGCCGGUGCAACAUGGACGAGGACACUUCAAAGCAAGUUGGACCCUCACACACAAAAGGUCAGGACCACAGACUGAGAGCAGAGUCUCCAGGGUCCAGCUGUCUGUCUCUGAAGAGUGACUGGUCCAUG